rnacentral:rRNA from 1 species
CCUACGGUAUGCAGCAGUGGGGAAUAUUGCACAAUGGGGGGAACCCUGAUGCAGCGACGCCGCGUGGGUGAAGAAGCGCCUCGGCGCGUAAAGCCCUGUCAGCAGGGAAGCAAAUGACGGUACCUGAAGAAGAAGCCCCGGCUAACUACGUGACAGCAGCCGCUGUAAUACGUAGGGGGCACACGUUAUCAGGAUUUACUGUGGGUAACGGGGUCGUAGACGGCGAUGCAAGCCAGGAGUGAAAGCCCGGCGCCCAACCCCGGGACUGCUGUGGGAACUGCGUGGCUAGAGUGAAGGAGGGGCAGGCGGAAUUCCUGGUGUAGCGGUGAAAUGCGUAGAUAUCAGGAGGAACACCGGUGGCGAAGGCGGCCUGCUGGACUGCAACUGACGUUGAGGCCCGAAAGCGUGGGGAGCAAACAGGAUUAGAUACCCGGGUAGUC